rnacentral:rRNA from 1 species
UACGUAUGGAGCAAGCGUUAUCCGGAAUUACUGGGUGUAAAGGGAGCGUAGACGGCGAUGCAAGUCUGAAGUGAAAGGCGGGGGCCCAACCCCUGGACUGCUUUGGAAACUGUGCAGCUGGAGUGCAGGAGAGGUAAGCGGAAUUCCUAGUGUAGCGGUGAAAUGCGUAGAUAUUAGGAGGAACACCAGUGGCGAAGGCGGCUUACUGGACUGUAACUGACGUUGAGGCUCGAAAGCGUGGGGAGCAAACAGG